ensembl:snoRNA SNORA48 small nucleolar RNA SNORA48
AUUCCCCUCCCUGAACUGAGUGGUACCUGGUUGGGGAUCCUUACAUCAUCUAGAGAAAAAACAGCUCCUUGUUUAUCCCAGCUUGGUUUUUGCUCCAUGUCUGGUUCAUGCUGUAGACACAUGG